GACGAGCCGGACGAACGUUAUUCGGAAUUACUGGGCGUAAAGCGCACGUAGGCGGGUCGUUAAGUCAGGGGUGAAAUCCCGGAGCUCAACUCCGGAACUGCCUUUGAUACUGGCGAUCUAGAGAUCGGAAGAGGUUAGUGGAAUUCCCAGUGUAGAGGUGAAAUUCGUAGAUAUUGGGAAGAACACCAGUGGCGAAGGCGGCUAACUGGUCCGAUACUGACGCUGAGGUGCGAAAGCGUGGGGAGCAAACAGG
rnacentral:rRNA from 1 species